UAAUUUGAACACUAUAUCUCACCACAUACUGUUUCUCAUUUAUUAUCCCUUUUUUUUUCUUAAAUAUGUAUUAUUGUAGAAGUAAAACGGGUGUAUUCAUGUAGUUCUACUUACAUAUGUCUUCAAAUGCUACUGACCAAAGUGUGCAACUAAUGAGAAGAAUGAACUAAUUUGAUGAAACAGGCAUCAUUGUAUUUAACGCGCAUUCAAUAUUUCACUCCGCACAGGUUCUGCGCGUGUAUCUGGGAUGUUUGAGCAGCUGGUCUCUCUUAACGGAGAGAGAUUUUCUCACAGGGUCUCUCUCCUGAGGAAACACCUCUGCCGCAUGUAAGAUGACCACACAUCUAGCACAAACCAAAUGCUUUCGUCCCACCACCCAUCUGUUUGCUGAAAUUUCCCCAUUCUUGAACGGACGCCAGUGCAGCCAUAGUUUGGCUUUGUGCGAACCUGUUUGUUUGGGCCGUAUACCCAGCAAAGCUUCUUCUGUCACAGAGCCGUCACUGUCUGUCCCUCUGCUCAACCUGGGGAGAUUCCUCAGGGAUGGAAUAAUCACAGCACCUCAUGACUGAUUUUCUGGAGUUCAGUGAUACAACUACACAGACUGUCAACACACUCUCAAUGGGUAAAUGAGUUCAUUCUAAAAUUUAAAUACAAAUUUAAGUUUCAAAUUUUAUCUGGUUUCCAAACAAACAUGUUCUUUUCUCUUUUUAGUUUUUUGGUCACAUGUAAGUGUGAGCAGCUCUUUUAAGCUGAGGAUACUUCUCUCCUCUUCUCCACUAAAUGCAUCACAUCCCACAUCCUCAUCAUCUGCAGAGAAACUGUCACUCAGUCACACCAUAAUGAUGGACUUAAAGGCAUAUGAAGAUAUUUCACUGGAACUUGGUCUUCAUCACAUCUAUUUUUUGUUUUUAUUUUGUUUUACUUCUUUGUGUAUUUAUUCAUGUUCAUUGUCAAUUGUCAUUUUUUGACAUUCAUUUUUUGUACAUUUUUUAUGUAUUCAGCUAAUAACUGUUGUUAAGAGCACAUUUUUGCUACAAUAUUACGUCAAUAA